rnacentral:rRNA from 1 species
GAUGAACGCUGGCGGCGUGCCUAAUACAUGCAAGUCGAACGCACAGCGAAAGGUGCUUGCACCUUUCAAGUGAGUGGCGAACGGGUGAGUAACACGUGGACAACCUGCCUCAAGGCUGGGGAUAACAUUUGGAAACAGAUGCUAAUACCGAAUAAAACUCAGUGUCGCAUGACACAAAGUUAAAAGGCGCUUUGGCGUCACCUAGAGAUGGAUCCGCGGUGCAUUAGUUAGUUGGUGGGGUAAAGGCCUACCAAGACAAUGAUGCAUAGCCGAGUUGAGGGACUGAUCGGCCACAUUGGGACUGAGACACGGCCCAAACUCCUACGGGAGGCUGCAGUAGGGAAUCUUCCACAAUGGGCGAAAGCCUGAUGGAGCAACGCCGCGUGUGUGAUGAAGGCUUUCGGGUCGUAAAGCACUGUUGUAUGGGAAGAACAGCUAGAAUAGGGAAUGAUUUUAGUUUGACGGUACCAUACCAGAAAGGGACGGCUAAAUACGUGCCAGCCGCCGCGGUAA